rnacentral:rRNA from 1 species
UACGAAGGGUCCAAGCGUUGUUCGGAAUCAUUGGGCGUAAAGCGCGCGCAGGCGGAUCAGUAAGUCAGGUGUGAAAUCUCGAGGCUCAACCUCGAAAUUGCGCCUGAAACUACUAGUCUAGAGUGUCGGAGGGGGCAGGGGAAUUUCACGUGUAGGGGUAAAAUCCGUAGAGAUGUGAAGGAACACCGGAGGCGAAGGCGCCUGCCUGGACGACUACUGACGCUGAGGCGCGAAAGCGUGGGGGAGCAAACAGG